CAGAAGCCUGGUACCGAGUAGCAAGAGCUAUUCAGCAAAAGGGAUGGGUUGAGGAAGAAAUUGAUCACAAAGGUUUAAGAUUGUUUGUGUAUUAUAAUAAUUGUGUUACUGGGAAGUCCUCCCAGCCAGCGCCCUAUGAUGGCGCCCAGGAGGUAACCACUCCCAACAUCGCGUCAGCAAUGACCGAAAUGUAGCUGACCAUGGUCCCUACCCCUGGUCCCCACCCUACCACCGCCCCUGUUUGCCC